AGACCCGAAACCCGGUGAUCUAGCCAUGGGCAGGUUGAAGGUUGGGUAACACUAACUGGAGGACCGAACCGACUAAUGUUGAAAAAUUAGCGGAUGACCUGUGGCUGGGGGUGAAAGGCCAAUCAAACCGGGAGAUAGCUGGUUCUCCCCGAAAGCUAUUUAGGUAGCGCCUCGUGAAUUCAUCUCCGGGGGUAGAGCACUGUUUCGGCUAGGGGGCCAUCCCGGCUUACCAACCCGAUGCAAACUGCGAAUACCGGAGAAUGUUAUCACGGGAGACACACGGCGGGUGCUAACGUCCGUCGUGAAGAGGGAAACAACCCAGACCGCCAGCUAAGGUCCCAAAGUCAUGGUUAAGUGGGAAACGAUGUGGGAAGGCCCAGACAGCCAGGAUGUUGGCUUAGAAGCAGCCAUCAUUUAAAGAAAGCGUAAUAGCUCACUGGUCGAGUCGGCCUGCGCGGAAGAUGUAACGGGGCUAAACCAUGCACCGAAGCUGCGGCAGCGACGCUGAUGCGUUGUUGGGUAGGGGAGCGUUCUGUAAGCCUGCGAAGGUGACCUGUGAGGGUUGCUGGAGGUAUCAGAAGUGCGAAUG
rnacentral:rRNA from 1 species